UCCUCUCUCCGCUGAUUUGAAGAACCCUGUCGUCUUCAAUCUCAACCUUCACUUCCUCUUUCUUAAGCCCAGGAAGUUCAGCCUUGAAUACAUGAGCUUCUGGUGUCUCUUUCCAGUCUAUGCGAGUGUUGAUAAAAGCAGAAUUUUCACGAGAGACGAUCGAAGAAGAUGAAGGGAAAGGAAAGUCUUUGAAUGGAUCCCAAACAUCGAAAGAAGAGAAAGGAUCGAAAAUGCUGCUUCUUGAGUUACCGAAGAAACUUGGAAUCAGAGCCAUUUCCAAUUUGUUUAU